rnacentral:rRNA from 1 species
GAUGAACGCUGGCGGCGUGCCUAAUACAUGCAAGUCGAGCGAAUGGAUUAAGAGCUUGCUCUUAUGAAGUUAGCGGCGGACGGGUGAGUAACACGUGGGUAACCUGCCCAUAAGACUGGGAUAACUCCGGGAAACCGGGGCUAAUACCGGAUAACAUUUUGAACCGCAUGGUUCGAAAUUGAAAGGCGGCUUCGGCUGUCACUUAUGGAUGGACCCGCGUCGCAUUAGCUAGUUGGUGAGGUAACGGCUCACCAAGGCAACGAUGCGUAGCCGACCUGAGAGGGUGAUCGGCCAGACUGGGACUGAGACACGGCCCAGACUCCUACGGGAGGCAGCAGUAGGGAAUCUUCCGCAAUGGACGAAAGUCUGACGGAGCAACGCCGCGUGAGUGAUGAAGGCUUUCGGGUCGUAAAACUCUGUUGUUAGGGAAGAACAAGUGCUAGUUGAAUAAGCUGGCACCUUGACGGAACCUAACCAGAAAGCCACGGCUAACUACGUGCCAGCCGCCGCCGUAA